rnacentral:rRNA from 1 species
AGAAUCAACGCUGGCGGCGUGCCUCAGACAUGCAAGUCGAACGCGAAAGUUCCCUUCGGGGAACGAGUAGAGUGGCGCACGGGUGAGUAACACGUAGGUAAUCUACCUUUGGAUGGGGAAUAACAACCGGAAACGGUUGCUAAUACCGCAUGAUGCAGCGGCACCUAAUGGUGACAGUUGUUAAAGCGGGGGAUCGAAAGACCUCGCGUCUGAAGAGGAGCCUGCGGCGGAUUAGCUAGUUGGUAAGGUAAUGGCUUACCAAGGCUACGAUCC